rnacentral:rRNA from 1 species
GUGGGGAAUCUUAGACAAUGGGGGCAACCCUGAUCUAGCCAUGCCGCGUGAGUGAUGAAGGCCUUAGGGUUGUAAAGCUCUUUCAGUGGGGAAGAUAAUGACGGUACCCACAGAAGAAGCCCCGGCUAACUCCGUGCCAGCAGCCGCGGUAAUACGGAGGGGGCUAGCGUUGUUCGGAAUUACUGGGCGUAAAGCGCACGUAGGCGGAUCGGAAAGUUGGGGGUGAAAUCCCAGGGCUCAACCCUGGAACUGCCUUCAAAACUAUCGGUCUGGAGUCCGAGAGAGGUGAGUGGAAUUCCGAGUGUAGAGGUGAAAUUCGUAGAUAUUCGGAGGAACACCAGUGGCGAAGGCGGCUCACUGGCUCGGUACUGACGCUGAGGUGCGAAAGCGUGGGGAGCAAACAGGAUUAGAAACCCUUGUAGUCC